rnacentral:tRNA from 1 species
CGUGGCGCAGCGGAUAGCGCGUCGGACUCCGACUCCGAAGGUCGCAGGUUCAAAUCCUGUCG